AUUGAACGCUGGCGGAAUGCUUUACACAUGCAAGUCGAACGGCAGCACGGGGCAACCUGGUGGCGAGUGGCGAACGGGUGAGUAAUACAUCGGAACGUGCCCAAUCGUGGGGGAUAACGUAGCGAAAGUUACGCUAAUACCGCAUACGAUCUACGGAUGAAAGCGGGGGAUCGCAAGACCUCGCGCGAAUGGAGCGGCCGAUGUCAGAUUAGGUAGUUGGUGGGGUAAAGGCUCACCAAGCCAACGAUCUGUAGCUGGUCUGAGAGGACGACCAGCCACACUGGAACUGAGGCACGGUCCAGACUCCUACGGGAGGCAGCAGUGGGGAAUUUUGGACAAUGGGCGCAAGCCUGAUCCAGCCAUUCCGCGUGCAGGAUGAAGGCCUUCGGUUGUAACUAGCUUUUGUACGGUAACGAAACGGACGAAGCUCUAAUACAGUUUGCUAAUGACGGUACCGUAAGAAUAAGACACCGGCUAACUACGUGCCAGCAGCCGCGGUAA
rnacentral:rRNA from 1 species